GUAAUGGUAUUUGGAGGUGGGGCCUUUGGGAGGUGAUUAGGUCAUGAGGAUGGAGCCCAAAUGAAUGGGAUUAGCACCCUUAUAAAAAAGGCCAGAGGGCUGGCUAGAUCUCAG